GAUGUCAUGAGAGGUGGAUGAAGGCCAUGCUUGUGUCCCUAGAACUGAAAGUCUCAAGAUGGGUGAUCACCCUCUUGGAGCCAGAGGUCAUUGAUCCUGCUAAUCCUUCCCUCCCAGAGGAGAGGUAGGGUGUGGAGCCGUGGUGGCAGCCAUUUCCCAGGAAUGGAGUGGCAGAGGGAGCCGAGGGGCAGCAGCAAUUUGCCUCACCUUAGGGUGAGUCUAAGCCGAGAAGAAAAGAGGGAGGAGGAAUGGGGGAAAUGGCUACGUGUCACCAGGACUGCCAUUUAAGGCAGAGUUGGUGCAGCCAAGCUGGAGUAGGCUGAGGAGUCCAGCCCAAGUGCAAGUGGCAGAGAACAUUCCCUGCUGAGAUUUUUGCAGAAGGAAGCAGGAAUCACAGUGGCUGAGUGUUUUAUGGACAAGUGCAUCCUUUAGUCCCUGCAACUGAGGUGAGCCACAUGUCACCCUGAGCCACUGUGCUUUGUGUUCAAAGCUCAUUCAUUCCUCCUCCCACUUCCUGCUGAUCCUUGCCUUACCUCUGGCUGUCCCUGGAAGGUGGCUGCUUGUUAUCUGUGACAGCC
rnacentral:lncRNA from 10 species